CUUUCAUCACUAUCUCUAACCUACCACCUGCAAGAAGUUCUAUUCAGAUCUACAAAUUUUCUCAAGUUGACUCCAAUUUCUUAUCCAACCACUUACCAGAGAAGGUCAUCGGUGUGUUACUUGGAGAAGGUAGGAAUGGCCUGGGGAUAACUUGAACUGCAGGGAGAGUCUUUCCAGCCUAACUUUCUUCUGAGCCCAUUGGCACUUAACACUCUCUGCUGUUUGCCAGUGAUGGAGAAUACAGUACUGUAUGGAAAUUUUCCUUGUGUUCUGUGGCAAACACAACAUUUAAAAGAGGCUGGUGUUGUUUGUUAUUCUGCUCUGACAACUAGCUGUGAAAAUCAAAUAUCAUGCAGCUAUUCGGUGAUAUUUAGAGAAAGUCAUAUUCAGGGAAUGCUUACAGGCUAAUGUCCUUAAUGUUAUGAACACACCUCUGAAUUAUUUUCUCAUUGCACUUUUGAAAACAUUUUGCAUUUGAGACACACAGGUUAAGGUAGAGAAGGAUGCACGUCAUCACAUAUGUAUCACAGGUCUUAUGGUGUAUUGUAGUUACCGCAUCUCUUCAGGGAGCCCUGAAAACAAGGGAGAUGUCAGGGAGAAUAUUGUGCCCAUGAGCCAACGAAGAGCCUUCUCAGCACUUCAUUGACCCAUGAUUCCCCAGACACUCUGAAAACGCUACAUGUACAGUUGAUGAGGAAGAGGAAGAGGGAAAGGCAACACAUCAAUUCGAAAAGAAUGUAAAAUAACGGACAUUCUUCGUGACAUUGUACUCCAUUAGAAUCCGUUAAAAGCUCAUUUUGACUUUAUGCUGGAAUAUUUCCUGCAUGAAUGUAGGGCUUGCAUUUGUGACUCUCCAUACCUACUUCCAUAUGUGUUAAACUCCAUUUGCUGCUCCACCCAUAAGGAAAACCUCUAAUAUUUGCUAGACAUUUGCCAGAACACUCUUCUAGCACAACAUCCAUCUCCUACAGCUUUCAUAGUUUCAUAUUUUGCAAUCUGAAAAAUGGUAAAAAUCAGGGGUGGACCAAGGGUAGAUUAGGAAUUACAGGCAGACCCCUUUAUCACUCAAAGUAGCUUGGCAUGGCUUCUGAUUGAUGACCUUUUAACAAUAUCAAAACAAAAUCACUUUUCCUCGGACCUGAAAUGAGACUCAGGGGAGUGGAGAACUAUCAUAGUUCCAUCUCCCAAAUAAUGGUAUAUAAAGAUAUGGGACUCUGCAGAAAUGGUGAAACUAACUUAUUAUUUAGGAAUUGGGAUAGCUCAGCCUGUAGAGUGCGAGCUCUUAAUAUUCACCCUGAGACCUCCAGGUAUAGGGUGGUAUAUAAAUUCAAUCAAUAAGAAUAAGCAUAAGAAUAAGUUUAAGAAUAAGAAUAUUAAAUAUGAGGGUCAUGGAUUUGAGCCGAAUGUUGGACAAAAUGGAUCCCUACAUUGCAUGGGGUUGGACUAGAUGACCCCCGUGGUCCCUUCCAACUAUACAAUUUUAUGAAUCUUUGAAUUCACGUAAGAUAUAAGAAACAAACACAGAGACAAGAUUUAUUUAUUUAUUUAUGCAUACUUGAUUAUGAAACUGGGUUGACAUCUGUAAGAGUUAUUAAUUAGUUAUUUGUAUAGCACAGGGCUUUGCAAUUUGGUUUCGUUCCUGGUUCCUUUGUGUCUUUAGGUUUACCAGUCUCUUAUAUUAUGGUAUUGUUGCUUAAUCAUCUUUUUAUCUUGUGGUAUUGUUGCUGUGUAAGACAGAUAUGUGAAAAAACUUACUUCAUCACCUGUUAUUGGAAACAAAGUUAUAGGCACAGAAUGUUCUCAGAUUAAGUAUGUUCUUUCAUUCUGAAAGUGUCUUUGUGGGUGAAUUUGAGUUUCUUGCAAAGAAUACAUACCAGCCUGAAGUAUGCCCACCACCACCAUCAUUAUUUUUUAAAAAGUAUUGUCUGUUGUUUCUCUUAUUUUCAGUUCCCAACUGAGCAUCUUGCCUCUGCUUUAUCAUAAUUAUGAAAACCCAAUAUGUUCUUCUGUCUCUCUUCACCUUCACAAUCUUUCUCAAUCCAGGUAUGUUAUUUCUUAAGAAUUUCCUGAGCUCUGUUGGGGAACAGUGAUUUAUAAAAAGUUUUAGGCUACACAAUAUUAGAAUAAAAUUAGAUCAGAACUUCCAAAAGUCCACCUACUUCAUCACCCAUUUUUCUGCAUGGUCUAUCAAAUUCCUCUGUGAAGCCUGCAAAUAGGUCUUGAGGGCAUCAGCACUCCCCCAGCCCAUAAUCCCCUGUACUGGGAUCCAGAAACUAAUAGAGCUCAGAAAGAAAUCAAUAGCUGGUAUGGUCAUACCAAGAUUGAAGAGUGAUAUGCUCAGAACUUCUGAUCCUGGUCAGCAAUUUCCACUAGCUGCAGUUUCUAUAAUAUUUCCAAAGGCAGCCCCAUGUAGAAUUCAUUGCAGUAAUCUAACAUACCAGAUGUGGGUCUGUUCCUGUUCAGAGAGGAGUGCGGCUAGGUCACCAGCCAAAGCUGAUGGAAGACACUGGGCACUACUUAAGGCCACAAGUGACAGCUGUGGAACCAGAAGCACUCCAAGCUAUGCAGCUGCUUCUUCAGAGGAGAAUGACCUCAUCCAGAGCAGGUCCAUACCCUGACAUCCAGUCUUGGGAUUCAGAUGGUGUAGAGAAGAAUUUAAGCUCAGGAACAUCAGUGAAUGGCUGAUAAUACACUUCAAAGCUCCGGAUUCACAAGCACUGUAGUUUUGUGUAGAUAGUCAAUGUUUGGGGAAUGCACUUGAUCCCUGCAGCCUCCCACACUGAAUGUGCCAUUGGACAGACCACAGAACUACUUGGAGCAACUCAGGUUGCUUCCGAAAGUGACAGAUAGAGAUCUGAACCAAAUCUUCUAGGCAGGACACAUCCUUCCUUCCUUCCUUCCUUACUUCCUUCCCUGCCUGCCUGCCUACCUGCCUACUUUACCGACCACCUGUCUCCUUGAUCCUUGCCCAUCCUGGCUGAUAAAAGCGAGCCGGGAAGGGCUGGGCGAUGGGCUCUGUGGGGUGGUGAAUGCUUCCCUCUGUGAGGGAGCCUUCCCAGACCCGCUGAAAGAGGUGGUCAUUAAACCGCUUCUUAAAAAAACAUCUUUAGACCCGGCCAAUUUGGCCAACUAUGGCCCAGUCUCAAAUCUGCCAUUCUUGGGCAAGGUGAUUGAGCGGGUGGUUACUGAACAACUCCAAGCACGCUCGGAGGAAACGGACCAUUUGGAUCCCUUCCAAUCGGGAUUCAGGCCUCACCAUGGGACUGAAACUGCCUUGGUCUCACUGGUUGAUGAUCUCCGGCGGGCUAGGGACAAAGGUGAGAGCUGUUUCCUAGUUCUGCUGGAUCUCUCAGCGGCCUUUGACACCAUCGACCAUAACAUCCUUCUGGACCGUCUAGAGGGGCUGGGAGCUGGGGGCACUGUCAUACAGUGGUUCCGCUCCUUCCUCCUGGGCCGUGUCCAGAAAGUGGUGGUGGGAGAUGAGUGUUCAGACCCCUGGGCUCUCACUUGUGGAGUGCCUCAGGGUUCUGUCCUCUCCCCCAUGCUUUUUAAUAUCUAUAUGAAGACGCUGGGAGAGAUCAUCAGGGGUUUGGACUGGGUGUUCAUCAGUAUGCAGAUGACACCCAGCUCUACCUCUCCUUUAAAUCAGAACCAGUGAAGGCGGUGAAGGUCCUGUGUGAGUGCCUGGAGGCGGUUGGAGGAUGGAUGGCGGCUAACAGAUUGAGGUUGAAGACAGAACUACUGUUUUGGGGGGACAGGGAGCGGGUUGGUGUGGGGGAUUCCCUGGUCUUGAAUGGGGUAACUGUGCCCCUGAAGGACCAGGUGCGCAGCCUGGGAGUCAUUUUGGACUCACAGCUGUCCAUGGAGGCGCAGGUUAACUCUGUGUCCAGGGCAGCUGUCUACCAGCUCCACCUGGUACGCAGGCUAAGACCCUACCUGCCCGUGAACUGUCUCGCCAGAGUGGUGCAUGCUCUAGUUUUCUCACGCUUGGACUACUGCAACGUGCUCUACGUGGGGCUACCUUUAAAGGUGACCCGGAAACUGCAAUUAAUCCAGAAUGCGGCAGCUAGACUGGUGACUGGGAGUGGCCGCCGGGACCACAUAACACCGGUUCUGAGAGAUCUGCAUUGGCUCCCAGUACAUUUCCGAGCACAAGUCAAAGUGUUGGUGCUGACCUUUAAAGCCCUAAACGGCCUCGGUCCUGUAUACCUGAAGGAGCGUCUCCACCCCCAUCGUUCAGCCCGGACACUGAGAUCCAGCGCCGAGGGCCUUCUGGCGGUUCCCUCAUUGCGAGAAGUGAGGCUACAGGGAACCAGGCAGAGGGCCUUCUUGGUAGUGGCGCCCGCCCUGUGGAAUGCCCUCCCAUCAGAUGUCAAAGAGAUAAAUAAUUACCUGACAUUCAGAAGACAUCUUAAGGCAGCCCUGUUCAGGGAAGUUUUUAAUAUGUAACGCUGUACUGUUUUUAACACUGAUUGGGAGCCGCCCAGAGUGGCUGGGGAAACUCAGCCAGAUGGGCGGGGUAUAAAUAAUAAAUUAUUAUUAUUAUUAUUAUUAUUAUUAUUAUUAUUAUUAUUGAGUUCUGCACUGUUGCAGGAAGAACUGACAUCCUUGGCAUACGAACAUGUCGUUUAUUCAGUGGUAUGUGCAUCUACUUUAUGUGUCCUCCACCACGUUUCAAAAUCGGAGAAUGUCGUCGGUAUUACAAUUGCUGUGCAAUGUAAGAAUAAUGAACGCAACACACCCAAACGCACAGUUUCACAUGGAUGUCAUAUUUCUUGGGACACGGUUGAGGGAGGUAGGGUGCGAGAGGGAGUGUCACCCCUGGGGUGGUUGGUAGUGGGAAAUGUGCAGGCAGGUUUGGCCUGAGAAAUUUUGGGCCCUGAGGCCAAAGACAAAAUGGCACCUCCCAGUCAGGCAAGAAGGGGCAAGUGAUGAUCUACACUGGGAACAUGGGUGGGAGGAAACCAGCAGUGCCUCCUAUUCAUCAAGAGGUUGCUGUAGAGGAGGCAUUGCAGGGAGCAGCUGUGGAGAUGACAGAUUCUCCCUUGAAGUACUAUGCCCCAGUUAUUCUUCCCACCACAGCAGCAGCGACAGACGAUAUGUUCCUUGUGGCCUUUGGAUCCUGCCACCCAAGGCAGUCACCUCACACCUUGCCUCAUGAGUGGCCUGGCCCUGUGUGGUGGUGAGCAAAGUCAUACAGGGGUGAGGAGUAGGGCUUGUCCCAUCAAAGCCCUCUCUUCCUCUGCUUCAACAACUUCAUUUCGGAACCUGGUGACACAGCUCAGCCGACCCUCUAGCCUGGUGGUGCUUUUGCAGAAUGCUAGACCUGCCCAGAAUAAAAUCUCAGUCAUCCAUUACAGUGGUACCUCGCAAGACGAAUGCCUCGCAAGACAAAAAACUCGCUAGACGAAAGGGUUUUUUGUUUUUUGAGCUGCUUCGCAAGACGAUUUUCCCUAUGGGCUUGCUUCGUAAGACGGAAACGUCUUGCACGUUUGUUUCCUAUUUCUUAACACCGUUAAUACAGUUGCGACUUGACUUCGAGGAGCAACUCAUAGAACGCGGUGUGGUAGCCUUUUUUGAGGUUUUUAAAGACUUUGGUGAUUUUUGAAGCUUUUCCAAAGCUUUCCCGACACCGUGCUUCGCAAGACGAAAAAAAUUGCAAGACGGCAAAACUCGCGGAACGAAUUAAUUUCGUCUUGCGAGGCACCACUGUAUUUGAUUGUGAGUGAAAGGGCAGACUCCGCAAGUGUAGCAGAAACCUGGCUGCCCCCCUUCCCUAUAGUCAAUGUUGAUUUCUGUUUUCCAAAUAUUUCAGUGCUGCCUCUGAGUGAUGGGACAACACCUCAUCUCUGCUUGUGGAAUCAACAAUUCCAGCUUUAUCACCACCCUUUGCAAGAAUGCAUUUGGGGCUCUUCAGCCCUCCCACGGAUAUCAAAGAGAAAAACAACUACCAGACUUUUCAGAAGACAUCUGAAGGCAGCCCUGUUUAAGGAAGCUUUUAAUGUUUAAUAGACUAUUGCAUUUUAAUAUUCUGUUGGAAGCCGCCCAGA